GCCCAGUUCCCUUCUGAAAAAAGCACCUUUGGGACAACCAUGAGCUGGAUGACUGAGAAUCUCUACAAACUUUUAGCUAUACAAUUUGGGAUGAACACCCUUGGGAUGGCGUGGGAGUAGGAAGGGAUUUCCGGAGGAAAAAAAUUGCAACCUAUGA